GCUCUCUCCAAUUCUGUGCAUGCAGGCGUUCCUUUCUAUUUUUGAGCAUGGCUAUGUAGUUUCAUGUUUCUUUUUCCUCUGCUCUCUACCUUGUAUUUGGAGGUAAGGGGGUCAAUUCUAGCAUGAGCUUAAUCUUCCACGUUGCCCCAUUAAUCCCGGAAUUCCUCACCAGUCUGCUAAUCGCCCACCCAGCACUGAGAGUACACAUCAUAGGCUUCUGGUUCUGGACCCAUCACUAACCAGCUGGCGACUGUGGGCCAGCCCCUCCCCGCCCCCAGGCCUCAUCGGGGGGUCUGUGAACUGUGGGAGUUAGAGGAGAGGAUGGGAGGGGUGAGGAGAGCGGUGACACCCACACUUCUGUGGGGUCCGGAAUUUAAUCCUCACCAAGGAGACUCACGGCACUGCCUCACCUUCGAGGGAGCAUAGGCAGCCCGACGUCAUGGACAGACAGUGAAUUCCGAGUUAGAAAUGACUAGGUUCUAGCCCCAGCUUUAUGCCUGUUAGGCUGUGGGAACGUGGAGCAAAACUUAAGCCUUGAACUUCAGUUGCCUCAUCAGUGACAUGAACAGCAAUGUCCGUCCUCCCCACAGGCGGAGGGGGUGAGGCCAGGAAGCUGUGAAAUAGUGUGGAUGGAAAACACUUUUCUAGCCUAAAGCUCUGUGUUCAUGCCAGCUGGAUUACUUGGCACAGUUUGGGUUCCCUGGGAAGCAGAUUCAGAGAGAUGUGAAGUGUUCAGGAUGUUCUGAAGAAGUGGGCUUGGGAUCAGCACACCUGUGCCAGGGAGGGAGUGGAAGCAGCAUGGGGUCGAGGAUGGGGAAGCAGGAGAAGCUGAGCCGCGAUGCGGUCCCCAGGGCCUCAGCCAGCCCCGUGGGGAGCCCUGGAGUUAAAUGUGCCCUCAGAGCUGUCCUGCACUGGGCCAAAAUGGUUGAGCUUCUGUAUUCCCUGAUCACCUGGUGAUGCCGUCCUGGCAGGGCAGGACCGUGGUCUGCCUGAUGCUCCAGCCAGCCCUGCCGCCAGCUGGGGCAACAAGUCCUUUCUUGAGGGAAGAUCUGGGCGGUGCUGUUAAUCACACGGCCACGCCUAACGGUCAGGUUGUCCCGAUCAAAGACUCGAUAUUAUAGGGCUCCUGCCAUUCUAGUACGAUUUGCCAGCUCUCCUCAUGCAUUUUAGUUUAAUGACUUUAGUCUCUCAUUUCUGAGAAAAGAAUGGGAAAUUCCUCCUCUGUUUGCCGUGGGACCCAGAAAACCAUUCCAUCUGGCUUUGCCUGGCAGUGAAAUAGACUCUACUGGAACUGGAUAUCAGCAGGACCUAAAAACUAACGAAUUGAUUUCAUUUAAGAAGUUGUGUGUGUGUAUACAUGAGGGCGUACACACGUGAAGAUGUAUAUAUGUCUGCGUGUGAGCACAUGUGGGGUGCAUUUCUGGGUGAGUACAUGUAUGACGACCUGGACAAGAGAGAGGCUUCGGGGGCAGGUGUCCAGUGUAGACACACCCAGGUGAACAGCAGUCAUCAUCUCCAUUUUAUGGGUGAAGAAACUGAGACUUAGCAAAGCUAUGGGACAUGUCCAAGGUCACAGAGCUGAGAAUUAGCAAAGUGAAUCUGGAUUUACUGCUCUUUCUUCAACAGCUGCUGGCAGCAAACCGGCUCUGAGGUGGCCCCUCCCCACCUGGGCACCCAGGUGAGCCUUUGUGAGGAGGCAUUCGUCCUCAGGGGCUUUGUCAGGAGGGGUGGAAACUUACCUUGGAUGUCAUCGUUGAACAUGCAGUACUUGUUGCGGUAUUUGUUGAGAAGGCGGAAGGCAUUGGCAUUGGCAAAGUCUUCAAACUGGAUGAGGCAAUUUAUUCCAAACCUGUGGAGAGGGAGAGGAAAGAGCAUGUAAUUGCCUCCCCGAGCUGACGCCUGGCAGGUCCCAGCCUGCACUGGGGAGCAGGGCGGUGCAGCCCAGGGGUGGGUGUGGGUGUGGCAUGGCUCAUUCACUGGGGUUUAUGCCACCUGGCUGGCUCCUGGACUCCUGGCUCUGCCUGCCCCAUUAUGAUUUAGUUAUUUAGUUUUAAUUGAAGUAGAGCUGAUUUACAAUGUUGUGUUAAUUUCUGCUGUACAGCAGAGUGACUCAGUGACACAUACAUACAUUCUUUUUUUUUUGAAGAUUUAUUACUCAUUUGAAAAUACUUCCCAUGUAAUUUAAAAAAACAAUAUAUAUAUAUAUUUAUUUAUUUUU